rnacentral:rRNA from 1 species
AACGAACGCUGGCGGCAUGCCUAACACAUGCAAGUCGAACGAAGGCUUCGGCCUUAGUGGCGCACGGGUGCGUAACGCGUGGGAAUCUGCCCUCAGGUACGGAAUAACUCAGGGGAACUUGAGCUAAUACCGUAUAAUGACUUCGGUCCAAAGAUUUAUCGCCUGGGGAUGAGCCCGCGUCGGAUUAGCUAGUUGGUAGAGUAAAAGCCUACCAAGGCGACGAUCCGUAGCUGGUCUGAGAGGAUGAUCAGCCACACUGGGACUGAGACACGGCCCAGACUCCGACGGGAGGCAGCAGUGGGGAAUAUUGGACAAUGGGCGCAAGCCUGAUCCAGCAAUGCCGCGUGAGUGAUGAAGGCCCUAGGGUUGUAAAGCUCUUUUACCCGGGAAGACAAUGACUGUACCGGGAGAAUAAGCCCCGGCUAACUCCGUGCCAGCAGCCGCCGUAAGAC